GUUGAUCCUGCGGGAGGUGGCUGCUAUCUGGAUUCGGCUGAGACAUGCAAGUCAGCUCGCAAGAGCGGCGCAAGGCUCAGUAACACGUCGCUAACCUGCCCUAAGGUCGGGGAUAAGCACGGGAAACUGUGUGUAACACCCGAUAGACGACCCGAUCUGCAAUGAUCUAUCGUCGAAACGCAAGGCCUUAGGAUGGGGCGGCGUCGGAUUAGGCAGUUGGUGGUGUAACGGACCACCAAACCUAGAAUCCGUACGGGCCAUGAGAGUGGUAGCCCGGAGAGGGACACUGAGAAACUGGUCCCAGCCCUACGGGGUGCAGCAGUCGCGAAAACUCUGCAAUGGGCGAAAGCCUGACAGGGGAAUCCAGAGUGCUCAUGCUUAGCAUGGGCUUUUGCCAAGUCAAAAAUCCUUGGCGAAUAAGUGGUGGGCAAGACCGGUGCCAGCCGCCGCGGUAACACCGGCGCCACAAGUGGCCACCGCGAUUAUUGGGCCUAAAGCGUCCGUAGCCGGUUCGGCAAAUCCUUUGUGAAAUCGUGAGUCUUAACCUCACGGCGGGCAGAGGAGACUACCGAACUUGGGACCGGGAGGGGUCAGAGGUAUUCCGGGGGGACUGGUAAAAUGGGAUAAUCCCCGGCAGACCACCGAUGGCGAAGGCAUCUGACCAGAACGGCUCUGACGGUGAGGGACGAAAGCCAGGGGAGCGAACCGGAUUAGAUACCCGAGUAGUCCUGGCCGUAAACGCUGUGAGCUAGGUGUUGCGCAUACUAUUGGUAUGCGCAGUGUCGAAACGAAGGUGUUAAGCUCACCGCCUGGGAAGUACGGCCGCAAGACUGAAACUUUAAGGAAUUGGCGGGGGAGCACCACAAGGGGUGCGGCGUGCGGUUUAAUCUAACUCAACGCAGAGAACCUUACUAGCGGCGCUGGCAGAAUGACGGUCAGUCUGAAGGGCUUACCCGACGAGCCCCGAGGUAGUGCAUGGCCGCCGUCAGCUCGUGCUGUGAAGUGUCCUGUUAAGUCAGGUAACGAGCGAGACCUGCAUCCAUAAUUGCUAACGACAGCAUGCUGGAUCGAGCACAUUAUGGAGACUGCUCUGGAAACAGAGAGGAAGGUGCAGGCUACGGUAGGUCUGUAUGCUCCGAAUCCGCUAGGCUACACGCGCGCAACAAUGGUCGCGACAAUGGGAUGCCACUCCGAAAGGAGUCGCUAAACCUCGAAACGCGAUCCUAGUCUAGAUUGAGGGUUGUAACUCACCCUCAUGACAUUGGAAUCCCUAGUAAUGGGACUUCAUCAUGGUCCCAUGAAUAUGUCCCUGCUCCUUGCACACACCGCCCGUCAAACCAACCGAGCAGGGUUUAGGUAAACGUCGUCUUAGUUGGACGCCGUGAAUCUAAGCUCAGUGAGGUGGGUUAAGUCGUCACAAGGUA
rnacentral:rRNA from 1 species